AGCUCCGAGCGGUGGGGACGGCCCCGGUGAGCACUCGGUCGUCCCGGCGCGGUGCAGGGAGCGAUGUCAGAGAAGCGGCGGACCGCGGCAGGGACGCGCGGGGAAGUUCCCUUUUUCCCUGGGUAUCGAAUAAUCGCAGAAUGUUCCGUUCUUACCUUUGAUGUCCAACUCCGAACUCCCGCGGAUCAAUGGCCGCAAAGUUGGCGGAAUUGGGAAUUUGGGACUUCGACACUUCUGGAAAAAAAAUGCCAACGGUUUAGCCAGGAUCUCCCCGUCUGAUUCGUUACUAUUAUUAUAUCUGAUGAUGUGGAUGGAUGGAAGGACUCAAUCCAAGCCCAUUAAUGAGCGAUUUUAUAAACGCCGCCGUCGGAGGAUCUCCAUUCACACGGCGUCAGGGAUCUCUCCCAGCAGCAGAGCCGUGCGGAUCCCGGGACUUCAGCGCAGCUCCGAUCAGAGCACGCCGCCUCGUCAAUCCAUUAAUGUUUUAUAGCAUGUAAAUAUUUCAUAAAGUUUUUAGGAAAACUAUCGAUUCUAAAUUAUUAAACUAGUCAGAAGGGCGUUUGAAUAAUGCAUACGAUUAAAUACACUUAAAUAUA